UGGCUAUAUCACAUUGUAACACCAGUUCCCGUACGAUCACUGAAGUUAAGCAACAUUGAGCUUGAUCAGUACCUAGAUGGAUGAAUGCUUGAGAAUACCAGUUUUUGCA